rnacentral:rRNA from 1 species
AUACGUAGGGUGCGAGCGUUGUCCGGAAUUACUGGGCGUAAAGAGCGUGUAGGCGGUUGAAUAAGUCUGGAGUGAAAGUCCCGGUUUCAAGUUGGGAACUGCUUUGGAUACUGUUCAACUUGAGUGCGGAAGAGGUUAGUGGAAUUCCCAGUGUAGCGGUGAAAUGCGUGGAGAUUGGGAGGAACACCAGUGGCGAAGGCGACUUACUGGGCCGUAACUGACGCUGAGGCGCGAAAGCGUGGGGAGCAAACAGGAUUAGAUACCCUGGUAGUCCACGCUGUAAACGAUGAUUACUAGGUGUGGGGGGACUGACCCCUUCCGUGCCGCAGUUAACACAAUAAGUAUUCCGCCUGGGGAGUACGGCCGCAAGGUUGAAACUCAAAUGAAUUGACGGGG